GUCCUCCUGUGACCCCCCCCUUAGAGGAUGACUGAUUUCUUUUGGUGUUCAGAGUCAAAAUAAUUUUCUAGCACCAUCUGAAAUCGGUUAUAAUGAUGGGGGACGCGCACCGUGCAGAGC
rnacentral:precursor_RNA from 15 species